GCUAAGCACCAUCCAGACUCAAUUUUGACUGUCGAUUGCCUUCCAUUGCCAUCACUCCCCACCCCUGCCCUGCCUCCACUUCGAUUGCUGUCCUGAGCCCAACAAGGAAGACAACCAGUGAAAUAUACUCAGGAGUCAAGAGUGGAUUUCAUGUUCUUUAUUCAACUCAUAGUGGUGAGGAGGAAUGGAAGUUCCCCCAGAAUGUCUGCUUUAUAUACAUUAUUUACACAAUGGGCCCCACGUGAUUGGCUAAUUCCGGGAUUCUCCUGUAGGCCAAUCAGGUUGCUGAUUCACUUCCACCUGGAGCUGGAUUGGGUGGCUCCUGUGGACCAAUUUGACUGCUGCAUUCUGGAUCCUAUUGUUCUAGGACCAAUCAGACUGCUGCAUUCUGAAUCCUAUUGUUCUUGGGCCAAUCAGACUGCUGCAUUCUGAAUCCUAUUGUUCUAGGACCAAUCAGACUGCUGCCUUUUGGAUCCUAUUCAACUCAGUACAUAACAACCAGAGUGCGUCUUCCUGCUUGUUUCAUGCGGGCUCAUACACACUUUGUUUGUCUGUCAAAAGCACGGGUCCGAACGGUUUUCUGUUUGUCCCAUCGCUUUUCCUGGGAAAGCCUGGGCCUUAGCUCUAAAGUCAGAGGGAAUGUGUGGAAGACCCAACUGACUUCACACCAAUUCAGAGCCUCCCCUUGUAGUUUCCAGCUAUCGUGCUCCAAUCUCUUAACAAGGAAUGAAAUUAUAGCAAUGUGAGCCCUGCCUGGGGGCCUCUCUCUUGAAAGCACCGAAGCAAGAAUGAUGUCCCACCUGCAUUAAGCCAACGGGUACGGAAGACAAGCCACGCUUGGCCAGGAAAAACAAUGGAAAUGGAUAUCCUGAAGGAAAGUAUUGCUGAUUGACUGGCACACCGAAGAGGCGAUGUCUGGAUUUUAAUUAAAU